AACGUGAUGCACCUGAGACUGCUCUUCAGGUAACAACCUUCAUGGAGGACAUAGUCUUGUAUAGCCAGACCUAUCCGGCGCUUUGCCUGAGGAAUUAACGGUUUUUGGGACCACUUGUAAUGUUAGCUGCAGCAGUUAGCCACAUUAGCUACAUUAUAAGCUGUUGGCCUGAGGACUUCUACCUGAAGGUGUUUUCCUGUGUGACUGUUGGAGCUUGGGGCCACACCAACUCUCACCUGUCCAACAAAAUGCAUCUGAGACUUGACUUCAUACAGGAAGACUCCCUUCACUCGCCUAUGGACAUUUCCUCCUACGCACCUGUCUACAGGAAAUUGAAGAACGCUGUUGAGAGUUGCUGGGGCAUCGCCGAACUCUAUUCCCCUCCUGCUAAGGCAGCUGUUUAGAGGCUCUCAUCAAUAAGGGAGGACUGUAAGGAAACCAGCAUGAAGAGCACGGCGGCCUCCCUCCCCUCCCGAUCCCACAAUAACACCCAUCAGCCAAUCUGAGCUCCGCCCUCUCAUCCAAAUAUGGUUGCUUCUGGCUCCAAAGAACCAAGAUGGCGACGGCUGAAAUGCCAAACCUGAGGCUUCAAAAUGUUAACAGAGCACUAAACCAGAGGUUGCCAGCCUGGCCAUUGGAAGUCCAUAGUGCACUUGCUCUAUGGGCCCUAUGAUGCAGAGUCAGCGCCGAUCAU